UGCCCCACAUCAAGGGUUGAAGAAUCAUUACUACUUCAACAAGCUAGAAUCUGUAUAGCUAGUUACGUAACAGCGCCAUCUAGCAGCAGUAGAAAUCCACUGCAACCUAUGUUUCUUACAUUUGUAUAAAUAAAGUUCUUAAUUAUGCAACUACAGUGCAUUGUGGGUGGCUAGUGCAUUCUGGGAAGGAGAAGGGAGACACCAUACUGUUUACAGCACAUUUGCAUAGCUCUCCUAGCAUUCCUGCUUCUUAAAUCUCCACUACCCCACAGCCAGCAUAUCUGGUAAGAAUUAUACAAGUCUCAGGAUAGUCUGUUCUUUAGUGAUGUUUUAGAUAGUUCUAAUCUGCACUUAGUAGUUGUUACGCUAGUAGAUAGCCAGUCAUGCGGCCUUAUAGGUCGUCAGCCAUCUUCAACAUGUGCUUAGUGCUAUGUAAUAUGUUCAGACAUGCCGAUUUAGAAUGAAUGCUGCUGUAUAUGUUAUUCAUAUGUUUUUGCUAUAUACUUAUACAAACCAUUUGUAUCUUUAUAGUUUUACCACAUGAACAUACAUCGGCACACCUACGUCGAUGCUCCUGUUUACUAAUUGCAACUGACCACUUACAGUCAAACAACCUGUUAUCAAUAAACAAGUUAGAUUACAAGACAGUCUGCUUAUUUGGAAGACAGUGAUGGUUAAGCUGAAUGUUGGAUUGCACACUGUGAGAACGUGUAUGAAGGCAGAACAGUAAAACAGAUGCUGGUCAGCAACGAUAGUGGAUGUGAUCAAACGGAGCUGCCAUCACACACGCGGUUCUGCGUAUACGAUUGCAGCGUCUGCCACACGGUCAGUGACAAGAAGUGAGAGUGCAGCUCAACACGAUCCAGACCACGCUGAAGCCCGGUCCUAUAUAGACUGAGUCCACAAAGAGACAUUAAGCGGCCGGCAGAACGGGCACAAUGUCUGUUAGCCGAGCAUCAUCAUACAAAACCAGAUCACGAGCAAGCUGCUCUAGCAAAUCCUCCAUAAAAGAAAUGGCUGCUCUCGCACGUGCAGAAGCUGAAGCUGCAAAAGUAAAGUCUUCCUUCGCUGCACAAGAGAUGCAACUAAAGAAAGAGAGGGCAUCAUUAGAAAAGGAACGAGUAGAUCUGCAAGCGUCGCUAGAAAGACUAGCCGCAGAGAAGGAAGCGGCAGCCGCAAUAGCCAAAGCAGAAUACCUGGAAGCCCUGGAGUUUUCCGGAUCUGAGAAACACCCCAAGACAGAGGGCAACUAUGAGCCAGGACAUCAGCCAGCUUAUAAAGAGUGCCAAAGAUCUUACCUUGAACCACAGUACCUUAGGCAGGACGAUAUGCGACCAAACGAUGCUGACAACUACCGCCCUAUGGAGCAGAGACUACAACCUUUGCCCAAAAUUAAAGGGACACCUUUUGCAUCAGAACGGCAUUAUACUGACUGCUCUAAGCCAGAAGCUCUUAAAAGGCAUGGUAAUACACCACACGUGCAGCAUAACAGCACACCGGAUUUUACUAAUGCUAACUGGGCCAUCAUGGACUUUGCUAAGUUCUUUGCUAAACGGGAGCUGGUUACCAAGGGACUUGCAAAGUUCACCGAUCAGGCCGAGAACUACAGGUCAUGGCGAGCCUCCUUCCAAAAUGCCAUAAGAGACUUAGACCUUUCCCAUCAGGAAGAGUUAGACCUCCUGGUAAAGUGGCUUGGAAGCGAGUCCGUUGAACACGCCAAAAGAAUCAGAGACAUUAACAUAAACUAUCCUGACAGAGGCCUAAAGAUGGUGUGGGAAAGACUUGAUGAGUGUUACGGGUCCAUAGAAGCCAUUGAAAAUGCUUUGUUCAAAAGGAUUGAUAACUUUCCCAGAAUAGUGGGUAGGGGUUACCAGAAGCUCAGAGAGCUCAGUGACUUGUUAAGAGAGGUACAGGUUGCUCAAGAAGAAGGAGAUCUACCAGGGCUAGCUUUCCUAGACACUGCCAGAGGGGUCAAUCCUAUUGUUCAAAAACUCCCUUAUAACCUACAAGAGAAGUGGGUCACACAUGGUUCUACUUAUAAACGGGUUCAUAAUGUACCAUUUCCCCCCUUCGAGGUGUUUGUAAACUUUGUCAGUGAACAGGCAAGAAUCAGAAAUGAUCCCAGUUUUGAUCUCACAAUGUCAUGCCCCACUACCCCUGAUGUCAGACCUCAUAAAACACCAGUGGCAGUCCAUAAAACUAACAUUGCCUCCACAGGUUCUCCAUACAAGCCGUCUAAGUCUUCUCAAGAAGGGAACGGACACAGAGAUCUUAACAAAGAAUGCCCCCUGCACAAGAAACCACAUUCUUUACUAAAAUGCAGAGCCUUCAGAGAAAAGACUUUAGAAGACCGGAAAGAGUUCCUCAAAGACAACAACAUCUGCUUCAGGUGCUGCACUACAACAUCGCACUUUGCCAGGAACUGUGAGGUCAGUGUGUCAUGCUCAGAAUGUGGUAGCACAGAACACAAUACGGCUUUACACCCUGGACCACCCUCUCAGGCAGUGCACCAAACAGAGGAUCAUGAAAAGAAGCAGAUAGACACUAACAAAACCAAUACAGUAGUCACUUCUCAGUGUACCGAAAUCUGUAAAGGAGUGGUAGGAGGAAAGUCCUGCUCGAAAAUCUGCCUUGUCAGAGUUUACCCGGCCAGUCACAGAGAUAAGGCGAUCAAGGCAUACGCAAUCUUAGACGAUCAAAGCAACCGGUCUUUAGCAAAAUCCACCUUUUUUGACACCUUCAACAUCAUAGGACCUGGUUCUCCCUACUCCUUAAGGACAUGUGCAGGUACAGUGGAGACGGCGGGGAGGAAGGCAACGGGAUACAAGGUAGAGUCCAUAGACGGGCAGACCUGCUUGUCACUGCCAACCAUACUGGAGUGCAACCAAAUUCCUGACAACCGUUCUGAGAUACCUACACCAGAAGUAGCAGCAUACCACCCCCACCUGAAGCGUAUAGCUCACCAGAUACCAGAACUGGAUCCAGAAGCACCAAUAGCCUUACUCCUAGGAAGAGACAUACUACGUGUUCACAAGGCUAGAGGACAGAUUAACGGUUCCCAAAACGCUCCAUACGCCCAGAGACUUGACCUAGGGUGGGUCAUCAUAGGAGACGUCUGUCUAGGAGGAGCACACAAGCCGAUCUCUGUCAACAGCAUGCUCACCAACACACUUGAAAGUAGACGUCCUUCCUUAUUCCAACCAUGUCAGAACAGUUUCCUGAUAAAAGAAUUGCCUCAUAGAGAUCCUGUCCCUUGUCCCUUCAUGGAUCCUUCCAGCGAAGACCACGCCUGUGAUGGUGAACGAGAUCACUUAGGGUGUACAGUUUUCCAUAGGUCAAGAGAAGACAACAAGGUCGCAAUCUCCAUAGAAGACAGACUGUUCUUGGAGAUCAUGGAUCAAGGAAUGACAAAGGACAAUUCAAAAAGCUGGGUCGCGCCUUUACCAUUUAGACCCCAGAGACAACGCUUACCUGACAACAAAGAACUUGUCUAUAACAGAUUUAUCUCCCUCAAGCACAAACUUCAGAAGACACCAGAGAUGAAAGAAAAUUUCAGAACAUUUUAUGUCUACGUCUCCAAUCGAGUGCUGAGGAUCAGGAGAUCCACUAGUCCUCAACAGUGGCACUACGUGCCUACACAACAUAAUCCCACAGACUACGCAACCAGAUCCGUCGCAGCCUGCCACCUGAAAGCCACAACAUGGUUCACAGGUCCUGCGUUCCUGUACCGUUCAACGGCUUGCAACAUCGGAUGUGACACAUUUGAAUUGAUAGACCCAGACGCAGAUGAGGAGAUCCGACCCGAAGUGUCUGUUCUUAACACAGUGACUUCAGAUCGUCAACUCGAAUCCCAUCGUUUCAGCAGGUUCUCCACCUGGAUGUCUCUGGUCCGUGCGAUAGCCAUCUUGAUUCAUAUAGCUAAGUCCUACACAUCUACAUUACCUGUGAGUCAGAAACCUUGUAAAGGUUGGCAUCACUGCAAGAGCGCCUUUACAGCUUCCAAUCUGGAGAGGUCCAAGGACAUAAUAAUCCACACAAUUCAACAUGAAUGUUACACUAAGGAGAUAGAAUACCUCAGGAAAGGCCAAACAGUCUCUAAAGACAGCGCUUUGAGAAGACUUGAUCCCGUCAUUGACCAAGGUGGGUUGAUGAGAAUAGGAGGCCGCCUUCAGGAAGCCAAAGUAGACUUCAGAGAAAAACACCCUAUAGUAAUUCCGGGACAUCACCAUGUCGCGACCCUACUCAUACGACAUCACCAUCUUCAAACAAAACACCAAGGCCGAAUGUUUACCGAAGGGAAUCUACGAGCCACUGGACUAUGGAUUGUUGGAGCGAAGAGACGUGUAAGCCAGGUCAUUUUCAACUGCAUUACCUGUCGCAAACUUCGUGGUGUGUCUCAGAACCCAAAAAUGGCCAGUCUCCCAGCUGAAAGACUCAGCACAGAUCCUCCCUUCACUAACGUUGGCUUGGACGUGUUCGGCCCUUGGUCAGUGGCUACCAGGCACACAAGAGGUGUUCACACCGGUGCAAAGCGUUGGGCAGUCAUGUUUACUUGCAUGUCCAGUAGGGCAGUCCAUAUAGAAGUGAUCGAAUCUAUGGAUGCUUCCAGCUUCAUAAAUGCAUUCCGACGGUUUAUCGCCAUUAGAGGACCUGUGAAAUGUAUUCGUUCAGAUAGAGGCACAAAUUUCGUUGGAGCAGUAAAAGAACUCCAAAUUCCUUCCAAUUUGGAUACGGCCAAGGUGGACAGAUACCUAAAUGAGCAAGGAUGCACAUGGACCUUUAAUCCACCGCAUUCCUCCCACAUGGGCGGCGUCUGGGAAAGGAUGAUAGGGAUAGCAAGGAAAAUCUUGGAUUCCAUCUUCUCGCAGGUAGGGAGUACGAGACUCACACACGAAAGUCUGGUCACAUUCUUGGCAGAAGUCUCAGCCAUCAUGAACGCAAGACCGUUGACUACCCUUUCCAGUGACCCUGAAGAUUUGAUGAUCCUUACCCCUGCCAUGUUACUCACACAGAAGACCAGCACCCUGAGUGCUCCAUCUGGAGAAUUUACUGAAAAAGACCUGUAUAGACGUCAAUGGAGGCAGGUGCAAAGUCUUUCUAAUGUCUUCUGGGACAAAUGGAGAAAAGAGUAUGUCUCUACCUUGCAGUCGAGAAGGAAGUGGCAAACUAACAAGCCGAACAUCAGACCUGGGGAUGUCGUGCUCAUGAAAGACCACCAAUCACAUCGGAAUGAGUGGCCACUGGGCCUCAUCACCAACACUUUUCCAAGCAAGGAUGGGAAUGUACGUAAGGCCGAGGUCAAAAUCUGUAAGCUUGGCGAGUGCAAACUAUUCCUCAGACCAACAACAGAGCUCGUGUUGUUGUUUUCACCUGAGAAGACAAGUAGUGACAUCUGUUGACGCCAGACGGGGAGUGUUCUGCCCCACAUCAAGGGUUGAAGAAUCAUUACUACUUCAACAAGCUAGAAUCUGUAUAGCUAGUUACGUAACAGCGCCAUCUAGCAGCAGUAGAAAUCCACUGCAACCUAUGUUUCUUACAUUUGUAUAAAUAAAGUUCUUAAUUAUGCAACUACAGUGCAUUGUGGGUGGCUAGUGCAUUCUGGGAAGGAGAAGGGAGACACCAUACUGUUUACAGCACAUUUGCAUAGCUCUCCUAGCAUUCCUGCUUCUUAAAUCUCCACUACCCCACAGCCAGCAUAUCUGUUUUACCACAUGAACAUACAUCGGCACACCUACGUCGAUGCUCCUGUUUACUAAUUGCAACUGACCACUUACAGUCAAACAACCUGUUAUCAAUAAACAAGUUAGAUUACAA